rnacentral:tRNA from 1 species
UGCUUUAUAGGUUAAUUAAACCCUCAUAUUUUCGUUAUGAAAAUAAAUAAAUUUUUAAGCUU